AGCUGCUCCUGGAUUUGUGCGGAAGGCCGAGCUCCAGAAAGCCCAAAAGGAGAUGGGAGCUAUCCAACAGAAGAUCAAAGAAUGGAGGAGAGAGAGAAAAGCUCAGGACGACCAUCUACAGACCACUAAGACCCACCUGGAGGGACUUGCCCAACAGGUCCAACGAUUACACUGAGUGGUGGCCCCAAUGGAAUCCCAGCAUAGGUGUAAUAUCCACCUGCGGGGAAUAUCAGAGGUGGUAAAGGGAGAAGCAUUACUGCCCUAUACUUAAAGGCUUGUCGCUUCUAUGGGCCUAAAAGAAGGAGCAGAUCCCUCCAUGCUACUUAUAGCAUUCCGUGUACGCAAGGCUGCAACAGCUCCGUCUGAAGCACCCAGUGACACAAUUAUUGUUACCAGAGACAUAUCAGGGCGACCUGCCAUUAUGGCCCGAUCCAGAUUGCCGAGUAGUAUGAAGUUUGAAGAUUGUGACAUUCUUCAGUGGACG